UUCAAGUACCAUUCUCAUUUCCUUAUUUUGAGGAAACAAACUUGUUUAGUAUUUGUAGAAUUCAUUCCAUAAACAACAACUCGUAGUUGUGUCCAUGCCUAUAAAUACUAGCCUUGAGAUACAAUUGUAAUCAUGCGUCCCUGAUAGAUGACCAAAGCAGACUCGAAAGUUGGCUUCUCUUAAGUGUUUUCAGUUCAUUACAUAGUGCUCUCAUGAAUCUGCGUGGACUUUUACGGGUUUAAUCGUCUUGUACAUGUAAAUAUAUGAAUUCAUACUGAUUUUCUUUCUUUUUUUCUUGUGCAUCAAGCAGGUGACACCUUAAGGACUUAAAUUUAUUUGUCGUUGCCAGGUAAAGUUCUUUCCUUUUCUUAUACAUUCUUCUACUUUUCAUUUCUUUUUCAAGGCUCAAAAGGAGUCGAUUCUGAUACAAACACUAAUUUUAAAGUGGUACCAAAAGUUUACUUCGUUCAGACAGAAGACUUUACCUUAUUCUGUUCAAGCGAAGAUUUUUCGUUAUUCCUUUCGAGCCGAAGGCUUUACUUUACCUUGACCAAUGAGAAGGCUUUACAAUGUUCAGAGUAAAGAUCAUUAAGCUGUCUAAACUGAAGAUUUUAUGUUGUUCGAUGUAAGGACCAUUAUACCGUUUAAGCCAAAAAAUUUAUUUUAUAAUAAGCAAAGAUCAUUACAUUGUUUAAACCAAAGACUUUACUGUAUACGAGGCAAAGACCAAUAUAUUGUCUGAGUCAAAUAUUUUACUUUGUCCGAUCAGUAGACCGUCUAAGCCAAACUUUAUUUUAUCUGAAACGAAGAUGAUUACACCGUUCGAGCCAGAGAUUUUAUCUUGUCUGAAGUGAAGACUAUUACACCGUUUGAGGCAAAAAUUUACUUUGUAUGAGGUGAAGACCAUUACACCAUCUGAGCCAAAGACUUUACUUUAUACAAGGCAAAUUAUAUUACACCGGCUAAGCUGAAAAUUAUAUUUUGCAAAGGCGAAGACAACCAUCUAAGCUGAAGAGUUUACUUUGUCCGAGGCUAAGACCAUUAUACUGUCUAAACUGAAGACUAUAUUUUGUCCAAGAAUUUGACUUUCUUUAUCAAUGGCAAAGACCAUCACACCAAAGACUUUACUUUUAUCUGAGGCAAAGACCAUUACACCGUCUGAGCCAAAGAUUUAUUUUGUCUGAAGCGAAGAUCAUUAUACUGCCUGAGCUAAAGACUUCAUUUUAUUUGAAGCGAAGACCAUUAUAGAGUCUAACUUGCAGAUUUUAUUUUAUCGCCAAAAGAUUUUACCUUUUGGUGCAAAGGAACAAAAGCUCGUCCUCAUUUCGAGAUGCACGAAUCAGAGAUUGUAUGAAGCAUGAUUUCUUUUUCAAAAAGCUGACCACCAAGAAUAUCUCUUCAAUUUGGAUCUUCACAUGUAAUUUUAUGAUCUCCUUUAUAUAGAUAUGUUUUUUUUUUUGCAGGUAGAAUAAGAAAUCAAUUCCAAAGAUAUCACUUUAGUAAAGAAAAUCUCGCAGUUGAAGGAUCCUCUUUCUGCAACACAAAUCAAGUCAUGCAAGCCAACAUUUUAAAUACUUCUAGUUGAAGAUUUAAAGACAUAUUAAAAUCUUCCUUCUAAUAGUUCAAGAUCUAAAUAUUAAAGAUGGUGCAGACUAUAUCAAAGGAUUUUACUAUACACUUGGAGAUAGACUGAAGCUUCCAAUUAAAGAAUUGAAGGCUAUAUCAAUUUGAAGACUAUUAUGGUGGCUUUUGAUUGGCUUUCAAUUGAAGAUUAGCUUGUAAAUUUCAACUUAAAGACAUGGCAAACUUGAAAGCCUCUACUUGAAGACUUGACAGAUUUGAAGACUUUAAGUUGAUGAUUCAACUUGAAAAUUUUGCAGAAUUGAAGACUUCAACUCUUGGCGAAUUCGAAGGCCUUAACUUGACUUGGUGAAUUUGAAGACUGCAACUUUAAGACCUAGCGGGCUUGAACACUUCAAAUUAAUGAUGUAACAGACUUGAAAAAAUUAACUUGACUUAGAAUUGGAGACUUCAAAUUGAAUAUUUAGCCUCUUAUUAAAAAAACUACAAUCAUUCCAUCAAAAGACUCAAUUUGACAUGGAAGGCCUGCCCCCAUUGAGCCAUCAAGAUAAGAUAGAGAGUUCAACGAAAGAAUACAUGUAUGACUGACUAAUUUUCAAGUGUCAAUCAAGUGAAUUUUAUUCCAUCAUACCUCAUUUGAAUAAUGCCUUGGGUAAUAUGUAUUUUUGAACUCAUAUGACUGAACUUAGAAUGAAACUCUAAGUUGCCUACGUACCUCGGUGAAGAGGAUCAAGUCAUUCCAUAGUUAGAAAUGGG
rnacentral:lncRNA from 1 species